AUGGCGCUGUGUGAAGGCAUAGAGAAAAAAGGUUUACUAUUAUUACGAAGGUACGUAUUUGUAGCUCUGGUUCUCUGCACUUUGGCGGUAAAGAAAUAGUUAGCCAGUAGCCUGUUUGAACCACACAGUUUGCACAUUUGAACUAAUUCUGACUGCAUGUACCGCUUCAGUCAGCGUGUUUUUCAGUUAUUUGAGAUAGAGCUUUGUUAUUUGGCCUCUAAAUAUCUGCACGAAGACCAUUUGGUUCGAGUGGUCUAAACAUUUUGGGUGUUGUGACUUUAGCCAAGUGUGUUAGUGAAGCAGUGUGUUAUUGUGUUAGUGAAGCAGCAUUUUCAUUAUUUAAGCAUGUGUGCGCGCACUCGUAGAUGUAUGAAAUUGAUUAUGUAAAUCUUUUCAGGUUAGCAGCAGACCGGUGGGCACCGAGAAGUCCGAAUCAUCUGGGUUCUGCUACGUGAAUGACAUCGUUCUGACCAUUUUGAGCCUCUCAAGUAAGAGAAGAAUUAUUUUUUUUUUGUCAGUGGAAAAGAAGCUUUUGCAUUUACAUAGUGUUGUGAAAUGUUUACAGGACAUUGGGGCUGUGUAGAGCAAAUACUACGGAGUGAAUUACCCAUGAAGCCAUCUUUAGACCGAUCAUGGCCAAAGUAAUGGAGAUGUACCAGCCGAGCGCAGUGGUCCUUCUGUGUGGAGCCGAUUCAACGUCACUAUUACAGGCCACAGGAGGUUUGAGCCCAUGACCAAAAGAAUAGACUGAGGAGGAGGUUGCAGGAAUGCUGCCAACCGAGGGAAAAAAGGAAGCAUAAGAGAGGUAACCUGUGGAUGAUUGAUUACAACCAGAACAAGUAGUGUUAUUGCAUUUACUUUGUCUUUGAAGUAGAGGAGGAAGAGAAGGACCUUUGCUGAAUCCUGUGAGCACAUGUGGUUGACAGAACUAGU